CAAGGGGACCCACGCAAAGGGACGUUGUGAACCUGGUCAGGCCGGAAGGUGCAGCCAUAAGCAACACCCCCUUGUGCAGUGGAUCAGCCUCUUGACC
rnacentral:SRP_RNA from 1 species